GAAAUGCGAUAAGUAAUGUGAAUUGCAGAAUUCAGUGAAUCAUCGAAUCUUUGAACGCACAUUGCGCCCGCCAGCAUUCUGGCGGGCAUGUCUGUUCGAGCGUCAUUACAACCCUCAGGCCCCCGGGCCUGGCGUUGGGGAUCGGCGGAAGCCCCCUGCGGGCACAACGCCGUCCCCCAAAUACAGUGGCGGUCCCGCCGCAGCUUCCAUUGCGUAGUAGCUAACACCUCGCAACUGGAGAGCGGCGCGGCCACGCCGUAAAACACCCAACUUCUGAAUGUUGACCUCGAAUCAGGUAGGAAUACCCGCUGAACUUAAGC
rnacentral:misc_RNA from 1 species